ACCCUCGGCCCCCCACGGCGGUUGGUCCCGGCGGGGGAAGGAGAAAGUGAGACUCGGUGUCAUCACCAAUCCGUCGCCAGAAGGGGAGGAAACUGGAAUCCAGCAGCGGCGAGCAGCAGCUGGGCGGUCACAUCUGGAAAUGGAAAGCCGACCUCCCCCUCCUCCUCCACCUCUUCCUCCUCCUCCUCCUCCUCCUCUCACCCAGGAUCACUUCCGAAACCACUUGGCCUUCAGCCCCUGCCUCGGCCAGAGGUUUCAUUUUUAACUGAAUAUUUACGAAAGCUGAAAGCGUGCGAGGGGGGUGGGGUGGAAAUAGCGGCUGCUUCUUUUCCAAGGAUUUAUUUAAUGGGGAUGUGUUCAAGGCAAGACCGAAUUCAGAAGGAUAUCGACGUCGUGAUCCAGAAGUCCAGAGCUGAGGACUGCCUGUUUGCAGGGCACCGGCAACAGUUUUCCGUUUGUGCCUACUCCACCUGCUGUCUUUGUUGGGUCAGCGAACAUCGCCUCCCUCUACCGCUCAAUCAGCAAAAGGGACCGCCCUUGAGGACCUCACCCGCGGCUCACUCCCCUCCCAACUUCGCGGGCAUCGCCUCCGGUCGCCUCUUCCGAAGGCCUAACGAGCAUGUUAGCUGCGAACGGAGGUGAGGAGGCUCCGCUGACUGACCGGUGCCCAUGUCCAGGGCACGCACAAACGCCAUGACUUGGCUUGGCCUCUCUCUUAGUUAUUCACAAGCUCAGCCCGAUAGGCACCUCUGGGGCGGCGACGGCAAAGAGGGUGCGCUUAUUAAGUGCAGCUCCACGGGGACUGGCCUCUGCACGGCUGUGUACACCUGAGCGAGACGCUCAGUCGCUCUCUAAAGCCGCUUCUGCGGAUGACAGACACGGAGAUAAACGUGAGAGGUGGCCCACCACGACUUGCCCUCCUUUGCCCGGGUUUGCCCCUCGCUGCGGAGGCUGUUCUACAUCUGGCCCUUGGAGCAGGCCGGCUGACAGCGUGGUAAAGGAAGAUUUCUGCGGGAGGGCGGCCAGUGCAAAACAAUUCCCUGACCGGGAAUCGAACCCGGGCCGUGGCGCUUUCAGCACCGAAUCCUAGCCACUAGACAACCAUGCAGAUGCGG
rnacentral:lncRNA from 1 species